AUGGCAGAACUGAUACCAAAUUGCAUAUGAUCGUUUCUGAUAUGUUUGUUCAGACAGGAUUCUGAGGAAGCUGAAAAUGGUUUUAUUGCUCAUUGGCAAAUUUCUAACAUGAGUAUUCAACAUAUCUUAAAUAAAGCACCAGAAUUUUUGUUUUGUUUUGCAUAAAAGGCAAAUUUAACCGGCCCUCAAAAUUUUUCUGUAUUCACUCACUGAAAAAACAAUAGAUUUCUAAAGAAAUGAAUAAUAAUGAUCUGAAUUUUACAUUAGCCCAAACCACUUCAAUUGUCAUGUAUAAUUAACUUUCAAUUUACACAUCACAGUUUACAUGUAACAUAUUUUACAUUUAUUUUACAUGUAACGAGCACACCACAAUGGUGACAAGGCCAAGUGACAAGUUUGAUUUAAACAAGAGAUAUUAAUAUCUUCAAGUGCAACCACACAUUCAGAAAAAUAAAGAAAACUUUUGGUAACUACAAUACCACUUUCUGUGAACAGGAGUGUUGGAAAAUCAGUCAUGAAAUUUGGUAGCAUAUUUAUUGGUUUUUAUUAAACAAUGAAAACAAUUUAAAGAAAAUUAUACCUGGCUGGCAGCAAAGGAAUCAACUAUUAUAUCAAAUAACAAGAUCGUCAAGCUUAUCUGAAGUGAUGUCAUUUGCUUAAGCCGUGCGACAUGGGAUUUGGAGAGAUUAAAGGAUGUCCAAAAAGCUGCUGUGCUAAGCAUUGGUUAAGGCUCUCCGGAUAUAGACAUCUAUACAAAUAUAUGACAUUAAAAGACAAUAGCUAUAGAUGCUUUGUCACUUUAUUGCUUGUUUUUCCUCAUGAUCUUCAGUUUUUCAAUUGUAUGCUUUGAGUGGAAGUUUUCAAGCAUGGCUAUAAUUUUAUCAAUAAUAGAAAACCAAAAAUGUCGAAA